UCCUUUAUGCUUCUCAACGAAAAUUCCAACUCAUAGUAUCCACCUUUGCUUCUCAUUCGUUCUUAGUUGAUUCGUUUCAGAUAGAUUGUUCUAGAAUCGUCUCGAAUUCUUCGAUUACUCAUACCAUAAUUGCGUAAACAGUUGAAGUUUUUCACUAUGGAGUCAAAGUCGCAGUCAAGGUUUCCGCUGGGUAGACAAUCAUCUCUGGCGCCGGAGAAAGACGGCGUUUCAGACGACUCAGUUACCGCCGGCCAUGGAGUCGAUGAAGGUAUGGAUUCCGGUUUGAGGUUAAUGUACAUGACUAAUGACGGUGAUUUGGAAGGUAUGGAGGAACUUUUGGACUCCGGUACCAGUGUGAACUACAGGGAUAUAGAUGGACGGACUGCGUUGCAUAUUGCCGCUUGCCAGGGUUACGCUGAUGUUGUUGAUUUUCUGCUUAAAAAUGGCGCUCAGGUGGAUUCCAUGGAUCAAUGGGGCAGUACGCCUCUUGCAGAUGCAAUAUAUUACAAGAAUAAUGAUGUGGUCAAGCUUUUGGAAGUACAUGGAGCGAAACCUGCGGUGGCUCCCAUGCAUGUAGAAAAUGUUCGUGAAAUUCCAGAGUAUGAAAUUGAUCCAAGAGAACUUGAUUUUAGUAAUAGUGUAAACAUAACAAAGGGUACGUAUUGUGUUGCUCUGUGGCGUGGAACUGAGGUUGCUGUUAAGAAACUUGGUGAAGAAUUAUUCACCGACGAAGAUAAAGUCAAGGCAUUUGGGGAUGAGCUUGCCUUAGUACAGAAGAUACGCCACCCAAAUGUAGUCCAGUUUCUUGGUGCUGUGACACAGAGUAGCCCAAUGAUGAUCGUCACAGAGUAUCUGUCUAAGGGAGAUCUUCGUGCAUUCCUGAAACGGAAAGGUGCAUUAAAGCCAAUAAUGGCUGUGAAGUUUGCACUGGAUAUUGCAAGAGGAAUAAACUACUUGCAUGAGAAUAAACCUGAAGCAAUAAUUCAUCGAGACCUGGAGCCCGAAAACAUAUUACGGGAUGAUUCUGGACUUCUGAAAGUUGCAGAUUUUGGACUUAGUAAGCUGAUGAAAUUUACCAAAACUGUCAGGGAAGUUAGACCAUUGGCGCGUCAAGAGGAUUCAUGGAGAUAUGUUGCUCCAGAAGUUCUUAAGCAUGAGGAGUAUGAUACCAAGGUGGAUGUUUUCUCAUUUGCUUUGAUAUUGCAAGAGAUGAUUGAAGGCUGUCCACCAUUUUCCACGAAGCAGGAAAUUGAGGUGGCCAAAGCAUAUGUUGCAAAUGAACGCCCUCCCUUUAAAGCUUCACAAAAGUUAUAUGCUCAUGGAUUGAGAGAGUUAAUUGAGGAUUGCUGGGAGGAGCAACCAUCAAAAAGACCGACUUUUCAGCGAAUAAUUAUCAGGUUGGAAGAAAUCAACCGUAUUCUUUUGCAUAGAAGACGUUGGAAGACGAAGUGUAGCAUUAAAAAGGAGAAAGGAGGCACUGGUUAAGAGCAUUCCUUCAAUACUCUGAGCUAUAGAAUGUCCUUAUUGGCAGUACUGGUGAAUUGAUGUUCGUGCUCAAAGGCUGAUAAAAUUAGGCAUGGGCACUUAAUUUUUUUCAGAAACUGAAGGCCAUCUUGAAGUUUGAUCAUUCGAAUUCAAAGAGUCACUAGUCUCGCCCAACCUUCUGAUGAGAUGUGCUUGCAUUGCAGCGACAUUUUUGAUCGAUUAAUUCUUAUCGUAUAUGCUUUCCAACGUUUAUUUCAUCUUCUUUUUUCUUUCUUUUGGGCGACUAUGGUUUGGAGAGAGGUUGACUAUGGCUUCCAUUGAUGUCCUCUAUUUAGGAUUAAAUGUCAAUACUUUUGACUAUGGCUUCCAUUGCUGUACAAAUUUUAGCAAACACUUUUUUAUCUAGAAUGAAAAAUUUCUUAUUUUUCA